AGGACACACAGUGUGGAGCAGGAGGAUUAUGAGAACUGAUCUGGAGAGUCGUCUACAAAGAGUGACGUCCAGAGCUCUGCUGGAGCUGUGGGGAAGUUCAUGAAUGUUAUAGUUGAUGUUUCAGAAAAAAGGAAGAUGUUUGAGAAUCAACAAAACACAGACCACAGAUGAACAAAGGUGAUGUGGCAUUAGGAGACUUUAUACCAGAUGCCCUCCCUGUUACUGUGUUUAGAGGAAGAAAAGCAGC